rnacentral:rRNA from 1 species
GUGUCAGCAGCCGCGGUAAGACGAGGGGUCCAAGCGUUGUUCGGAAUUAUUGGGCGUAAAGCGGGUGUAGGUGGAUCUAUAAGUCAGGAGUGAAAGCCCCGAGCUUAACUUGGGAAGUGCUUUUGAUACUGUAGAUCUUGAAUGUGGGAGAGGAUCGUGGAAUUCCAGGUGUAGUGGUGAAAUACGUAGAUAUCUGGAGGAACACCGGUGGCGAAGGCGGCGAUCUGGCCCAACAUUGACACUGAGACCCGAAAGUGCGGGGAUCAAACAGGAUUAGAUACCCUGGUAGUCC